rnacentral:rRNA from 1 species
GACGGAGGGUGCAAGCGUUGUUCGGAUUGACUGGGCGUAAAGGGCGUGUAGGCGGUUGGUCAAGUCUGAUGUGAAAGCCCGGGGCUCAGCCCCGGAAGGGCAUCGGAAACUAGCCAGCUGGAGCGCGAUAGAGGAGGGUGGAAUUCCUGGUGUAGCGGUGAAAUGCGUAGAUAGUCAGGAGGAACACCGGCGGCGAAGGCGGCCCUCUGGAUCGUUGCUGACGCUGAGACGCGAAAGCGUGGGGAGCAAACAGG